rnacentral:rRNA from 1 species
CAGUCGAGGGGCAGCGGGGGAGCAGCAAUGCUCCCGCCGGCGACCGGCGCACGGGUGAGUAACACGUAUGGAACCUGCCCGCAGCAGGGGGAUAAGCGGAAGAAAUUCCGUCUAGUACCGCGUAACACCGCGGAGGGGCAUCCCUCGGCGGUUAAAGAUUCAUCGGCUGCGGAUGGCCAUGCGGCGCAUUAGCUAGUCGGCGGGGUAACGGCCCACCGAGGCGACGAUGCGUAGGGGUUCUGAGAGGAAGGUCCCCCACACUGGUACUGAGACACGGACCAGACUCCUACGGGAGGCAGCAGUGAGGAAUAUUGGUCAAUGGGCGGGAGCCUGAACCAGCCAAGUCGCGUGAGGGAAGACGGUCCUAUGGAUUGUAAACCUCUUUAGGCGGGGAGCAAUGCCGGGCACGCGUGCCCGGAGGGAGAGUACCCGCAGAAUAAGCAUCGGCUAACUCCGUGCCAGCAGCCGCGGUAAUACGGAGGAUGCGAGCGUUAUCCGGAUUUAUUGGGUUUAAAGGGUGCGUAGGCGGAUUUUUAAGUCAGCGGUAAAAUGUCCGGGCUCAACCCGGGCCGGCCGUUGAAACUGGGGAUCUUGAGUGGGCGAGAAGUAUGCGGAAUGCGUGGUGUAGCGGUGAAAUGCAUAGAUAUCACGCAGAACUCCGAUUGCGAAGGCAGCAUACCGGCGCCCGACUGACGCUGAGGCACGAAAGCGUGGGGAUCGAACAGGAUUAGAUACCCUGGUAGUCCACGCAGUAAACGAUGAAUGCUAGUUGUCCGGUUCUUUGGGACUGGGUGAC